CCUCUUUCUUCUUCCCAUCCCACGUUUUUAGCAUUGAUUUUUCCAGUGGGUCGACUUCUCUUCCAUCGUUACUGCAGGUUUGUUCCUGUACCGCAGCAGUCUGGUUUGGGCAAUGUGUUUCCCCCCGUGGUGCAGUGGCUGCAGAACCGCGCUGACAUCUCCGUCCUGCUCUCCAUGUCCUCGCGCAGCUCAACAGCUCGUGCUCUCGCCCUCGCUGCAAAAGGCUAAUGGGAGAGGUGCCUGUACAAGAGGAGAGGUCCUAUGUUACACAUGUCCCUACCCAACGAGGAAGGAACCAAGGUGCCUCCAGGCCUCUCCCCUGUUUUUGGCCCUGGCACCAGUGGCUUCCUAAAGAACGAGUACAAGCUUGUUUACACACUCUGUCUAUUC
rnacentral:lncRNA from 1 species